AGGGAUGGUCCCUCUAUUUCACUGCGCCGCCACCACUACUCUCCAAACCAAACCCUAUUUCCCAUGCACCCUAUUCAGUUCCAUUUCUCCAUCGCCUUCAGCCGGAAAACGCUUCUGAGGUUUGCGACUGGAGUAGGCCGGAGCAGAUCGAUUUACAUCUGAGCGAUGCUCCAAAAGAAACCGUCGGUAGAAAACUUCCUUGCGGAGUGAGAUGUUCCAGUUUGGCCUAAGAAAUGAUGUUCCAGUUUGGCCUAACUGCAGAAAGAAGAAGAAAAGACAUUCUGAUCUUUUUGGGUUUGGCAUGGGAGGUAUUGGAAAGAUUUAUUUGGGAUUGCAUACCCUAACUUGUUCCCUGACUUCCCUAACUUGGCUACUUGGCAAAGCUUGCGUAGAAGGCUCUUCAAUAUUUAUACACAUAUGAGAGCCACAAUUCUUACUCCAAUGGUAACACUUCGUCAAUACAUGAUGUCAAAAACAUUCAAGCAUUGUGAAAGAACUAAGUUAUGGAGAAAACAAGAUCUAUACUUGGCUAAAUUAACAAAAAAGGUGGGUAGAUUUGAUGAUAUGAUGGAGAUUAUGGAGAAGGUUGCCCUUGAGACGGCUGCUGAGAAGGAGUUAACUGCAGAGGAGCGCGAACUCCUUUCGGAAGCUUAUGGCAGUGCCAUCUUAUCUCGAAGCACCGUAUUGAAGAACAUCUCUUCAAUAAGAAUGGAAGAGACAGAGCUCGGCCACCGAAACCAUAUCGACUCCAUUCCCAUCUUCGAGGAACGGGCCGAAUUCGAUCUAUCGUCAAUAUGCAAAAACAUUGUCCAAUUCAUUGACUCCAUUCUCAUCCCGGGCGCUCACAAAUUUGAAUCCAAGGUUUUCUACCUUAAGAUGAAGGGAGAUUAUUACCAUCACCUGAUAGAGUUGAAGACAGAAUCCCAGCGCAAGGACGCUAUUGAUAAUACCUUAUCUUUCUAUAAGACGGCUUUGGUUAUGUUCCUUUUUGUCACAGUCAAUCUUUCAUUAGGAUAAGGGUAUUGUUCUGAUAGCAUAAUGGUAUUGUUCUUGUAGGCAGAAUUAGCGUCACUAAAUCCAAUCCGUCUACAAUUGGUAGUAGAUUUCUCAACAUUCUACUAUGACGUUCUAAAGUCUCUACAGAUGACAUGCACUCUUGUCGAUCAGGCCAUCAACGAUGCAACUAGAGAUAUGGCUGCCCAAUUAUCGAUUAUCCAAGUCCUUCACGACAAGGUUGAUUCAUGGAGUUCAGAGUUGAGAAGCGACGAAACCUGAUGGCAGAGCUUUGUGAUUCAUCUAAGUUUGUAGUUUUCAUUUUGCAUUUGAUAGAGAGAUGGAGUCUGUAAUUAUAGGUAGAAUGGACUACCAUGGGAAAGUUACCUUAGUAAUUUCCUAUUAACAUGGUAUUAGAAUUGAAUGAACUAGACGAUUGAUACUUUGUCAUGAUAAUAAUGUUUGCCAUGUGUUGCCUUUUGUAAUUACAAUCUUAUGGUUUUGAAACAUAGUCUCAGUGUCAGUAAAUAUUUUUUAAAAUUUCUUUCUUUUUUAUUUAUUCAGUAAAUAAAUGAGUCAUUUUUGUAUCCUUUUAGUAUAUAUCAAAUUUGGAUUACGUUUGGUGAGUGGUGCAAAAGAAAGAUUCUAUUUUGGGGAAGGAUUAAGGCUUCGUUUUUGCUAUUGCUGCAAUAAUAACAAAGAAACACACAGGUAACUUUCUAUCCGACUAGGCGACUACCAACAUCAGGUGACUUCACCUUUCUUUCCCUCAUUCGAGGAUUGGUUUCUCUCAACUGGAACAAGUGAUAUAUAUCCUAGUGCUGGUGCUGGAUUUUAUCUUCAUAUCCUAGUGCUGGUACUGGAUUUUAUCUUCAUAGUUAUAUCUAUAUUUUUAGUUUAUCAGUUCUGUAUAUCACUUUCAUUUUAUUGGCAUGAAUAAAUUUACUAAUUUGGCAUCUGUAUCAUCUGCAGACAUUCUGGCAUAGGUGGUGGCAUACUCAUAGACAACCACAUUGACCUUGGGUCGGACUCAUCUGGAUCUUGCUCAUUUUCUGAGACCUGAUUACAUACAGAUGGAUGGAAGAGUAUUGCCAUGGUUCUUACUCCCGCAAUGGAACAUAAUGUAAUACUACAAAUUUUGUUAUUUAUGAAUUGCAUGGAACCUUCCCAGCUGAAAGAUAAAUAGAUAAACCUGUUAUUACACAUGGUUAUGAUUGACGGUUGGGAAGAUCAUAUUUUUUAAUUUGCUGGUUUUGAACUGAGCGAGUAUCUCUGGCUGAGAGAUCUGGGCAAUUAACUUAUUUACGGAGCCAUCAAUCUCGUUGGCUGCACGUAUCAUGUAUAGAUCUCUCAGCCAUAUCUGAAGAAUGCACACAAAAUGUAGCAAGAGGAUUGUGAAGGAGAAGAUCAUGAUCUUGGAAGCAAAGGGCUCUGCGUUGUUCCAAUCUCGUGCACUAAAUUUGCAGUGGCUAAGCAUUGAGAUCCCUAGUGAUUGCUGGGGAACUCCCAACUUUAUGGGAGCGUUUAGAUAGAUGAAAAAACAAAAAAGAAUAAAACUUCAAUUAUAAUGUGAAUUUUGAUGGAAUCGUUAAUAUUUCGUAGCCUUCUUUUA